GCGGGAGUAGCUCAGUUGGUAGAGUACGAGCCUUCCAAGCUCGGUGUCGCGGGUUCGAUCCCCGUCUCCCGCUCCA
rnacentral:tRNA from 1 species